UACACAUGCAAGUCGAACGGCAGCAUGAUCUAGCUUGCUAGAUUGAUGGCGAGUGGCGAACGGAUGAGUAAUACAUCGGAACGUGCCCUGUAGUGGGGGAUAACUAGUCUAAAGAUUAGCUAAUACCGCAUACGACCUGAGGGUGAAAGUGGGGGACCGCAAGGCCUCAUGCUAUAGGAGCGGCCGAUGUCUGAUUAGCUAGUUGGUGGGGUAAAGGCUCUCCAAUUCGACGAUCAGUAGCUGGUCUGAGAGGACGAUCAGCCACACUGGGAGUGAGACACGGCCCAGACUCCUACGGGAGGCAGCAGUGGGGAAUUUUGGACAAUGGGCGAAAGCCUGAUCCAGCAAUGCCGCGUGUGUGAAGAAGGCCUUCGGGUUGUAAAGCACUUUUGUCCGGAAAGAAAUGGCUCUGGUUAAUACCCGGGGUCGAUGACGGUACCGGAAGAAUAAGGACCGGCUAACUACGUGCCAGCAGCCGCGGUAAUACGUAGGGUCCAAGCGUUAAUCGGAAUUACUGGGCGUAAAGCGUGCGCAGGCGGUUGUGCAAGACCGAUGUGAAAUCCCCGAGCUUAACUUGGGAAUUGCAUUGGUGACUGCACGGCUAGAGUGUGUCAGAGGGGGGUAGAAUUCCACGUGUAGCAGUGAAAUGCGUAGAGAUGUGGAGGAAUACCGAUGGCGAAGGCAGCCCCCCGGGAUAACACUGACGCUCAUGCACGAAAGCGUGGGGAGCAAACAGGAUUAGAUACCCUGGUAGUCCACGCCCUAAACGAUGUCAACUAGCUGUUGGGGAUUCAUUUCCUUAGUAACGUAGCUAACGCGUGAAGUUGACCGCCUGGGGAGUACGGUCGCGAGAUUAAAACUCAAAGGAAUGACGGAAGGGCG
rnacentral:rRNA from 1 species